rnacentral:rRNA from 1 species
CCCCGAAUCUCCUGGGCUACACGCGCGCUACAAAGGUUGGGACAAUGGGCUCCGACAUCGAAAGGUGAAGGCAAUCUCGAAACCCAAUCGUAGUUCGGAUUGAGGGUUGUAACUCACCCUCAUGAAGCUGGAUUCCGUAGUAAUCGCUUGUCAACAUCAAGCGGUGAAUAUGCCCUGCUCCUU